rnacentral:sRNA from 2 species
GUCGUAACAAGGUAGCCGUAGGAGAACCUGCGGCUGGAUCACCUCCUUUCUAAGGAAUAUUACGGAAACCUACACAUUCUUCGAAACUUUGUUUAGUUUUGAGAGAUUUAACUCUCAAAACUUGUUCUUUGAAAACUAGAUAAUAUCAAAUAUAUUUUUUCAUAAUGAAACCGAGAACACCGCGUUUUUUGAGUUUUUUAUUGAAGUUUAAUUAUCGCUAAACUCAUUAAUCGCAUUUACCGUUAGGUAAAUGAGGUUAAGUUAACAAGGGCGCAUGGUGAAUGCCUUGGCACUAGGAGCCGAUGAAGGACGGGACUAACACCGAUAUGCUUCGGGGAGCUGUACGUAAGCUAUGAUCCGGAGAUUUCCGAAUGGGGCAACCCAGCAGUUUUAAUCAACUGUUACCACUAGAUGAAUUCAUAGUCUAGUUGGAGGUAAACGCUGUGAACUGAAACAUCUCAUUAGCAGCAGGAAUAUAAAGAAAUUUCGAUUCCCUAAGUAGCGGCGAGCGAACGGGGAACAGCCCAAACCAAAGUGCUUGCACUUUGGGGUUGUAGGACUGAACAUUUGAGUUACCAAAGAACUUGAUAGUCGAAGGAUUUGGGAAAAUCCGCCAUAGAUGGUGAUAGCCCAGUAGAUUAAAUCAAAUUCUCUCAGUUCAGGAUCCUGAGUACGGCGGAACACGUGAAAUUCCGU